AUGAGGUAGUAGGUUGUAUAGU
rnacentral:misc_RNA from 1 species